CCGUGAGGUCAAGCAAAUCCCAUAAAGUUGUUCUCAGUUCGGAUUGUAGUCUGCAACUCGACUACAUGAAGCUGGAAUCGCUAGUAAUCGUAGAUCAGCAUGCUACGGUGAAUACGUUCCCGGGUCUUGUACACACCGCCCGUCACACCACGAGAGUUUGUAACACCCGAAGCCGGUGGAGUAACCUUUUAGGAGCUAGCCGUCGAAGGUGGGACAAAUGAUUGGGGUGAAGUCGUAACAAGGUAGCCGUAUCGGAAGGUGCGGCUGGAUCACCUCCUUU
rnacentral:rRNA from 1 species